UUUCAGAGUUAAUAAUUACCUGGAUUUCCAUCGAUGACACAAUAUAAAGGAAGCAGGCGACCUGCAGAGCACAUCUAAGGGAUCAUAACUCCAGUGGAACAAUUUACCAGAGAUCAGUGAACAGACACGUGAGAACAUGAAGACUGUGAUUCUUGCUCUUGUGGUGUUGCUGGUUGUCAGCCAGGGUGAAGCCUUGAGGUGCUACUGUGGAGGUCUUACGCUCUGCUCAAGCCGUGUACAGACCUGCUCUGGUUCAAAUAAAGUCUGUGCCAGAAUCACCUUUACGCAUGAUAACAGCUACUUCCAGAGUUGCUAUGAUGCAAGAGCCUGCAGGCUGCUGGUUAAUUCAAGUGGAUACUCCGGCAGAUGCUGCGGGACUAAUCUGUGCAACUGAAAAAUGAACAUCAUGUGACACAUCUGUCAGUAAUAAUGAUCAUCUACAGUCAUGUGUCAUGUAUGUUAGUGUUGUCAUAAUAAAGAUCAAUCAAGUUGCA